CAUCUAUUUACAUAUCGAUGGAAUAACUGCAAAAAUAUGUACAUAAAGUUAUCAUUCACAUCAAAACCUAGUUUUUAACUGGAAAACUAGAUCAAUUAAACAUCGAAAAUAGUUGUAUUACUAGUAAACAACACUCAACAACGAAUGGGAAGUCAAAAAUAGUAUCAAAACACUUUUGAGGGAUUCACAAAUUGAUGGUGUAAAUUAAAGAAAGCAACGCAAAUCCAUUAAAUGUCUGACAAGAGACGACUGCCUCCGGCUGAUGCCGCCAGUGAUCGCCACCGUGCUCCCGUCAAUUGAAAUAAAUUAAAAAAAAUUAACUGAACAUGAUGUGCGGUAGUAAAAAGUGCAACGUCAGUUCUCCACUUAACGGUGAUGAUAGGUGAAAUUAAAUUGUUAGUUAUCAUUAUCAUAUUUGCACUUUGUCUCUUAAGUGAAUAUACGAGUAAAAAAAUAUAUAUAUGUGCAUAGUGUGAUAGUAAAAAUACAUUAACGAGUCAAUAAAUCUCUCAUCAUUUUAAAGGGAAUGACUCCAUUGAAUUAGUCUUUUUCGUGGGUGUAAAAAACAAAGUGUCACUCAAAACUGAAUGCCUUAAAUAAUGAGAAAUUAGGUAAAUAGCAUUGAAGUAGCACAAUUUCUCAUUUAAAUACAUAGUGAAUCAUUUUUUGAUAAUGACUAAGAUAUAAUGAUCUGCAAAUUUCUUCUGAAAUAUACCCACAGUCAAAAACGUGUUUGGAAAAAAAAUUGUUUUUAUUUCAACAGUUCUGUAUUUUUGGGGACAGUGAUUGUCAACAGGAAUGUGUUUUGAAUUAUCAAUGUUGUUUUCUGUCUUUCCUUAAAGGAAAUAUUCCCUCCUGAUGGAAAUAAUUCUACGAAAAAAAAGUACCAUGAAUGUUUUGAAGUUGUCAUAUUAAAUUAUUUAAUUGAUUCACUAACGUUAAUGAUUUUUUUUAUCACACCAUAAAAAUGGUAAAUAUAAAAUGUCCAUCAUAUUGUCAACAAACAGAACCUUUACGAGCUUCUUGAUUGAGAUAAGAAAGCAUAAAAAGUAAAUUGACGUUAUAGUACGUACAUGCGAAAGAAUUUAUUUCGUUGAUUCUGUGUUUAAACCUUAACCUAUAUUUCUAAGUGCUGAUGAGAUGUUCUUUAAAUUUACAAAUAUAGGUUGAAAUAUGGAAUUUGUCGAUUAACAGAUUAAAAGGGUGGGCUAAAUGUCGGAGAAUUAUCGGAGAAAAAUGGUCCAACUCUCCAUAGUUCGCAGAAAAUUGACACUCAACAUGGAUAACAAAGUGGCUGGUCAUCCGCCUUCAGUUACUAAUUCAAUCAAACGAUUUGUUUAAUAAUAAGAGCUCUUUUUUCAGGAUUCUCCUCUGACUAAUGCAUACAUUUUAAGAAAGAUAUAUAAGGAGUUGAUGUUCCACAUACUAUUAUGACAGGGACCUUGAGCGUUGUCCAUUGGCAGGGCAGUCUAACGAAAUUCGUACACAAACUUUCAUACAACAAACACGAUGUGUGCUUAAUUUUUUUUCCAAAACUUCUUUUCAAAAAAUAUAUGUUCAAUAUUUUCCAACAAAGCUUAAGCGUAAGGCGACUCAUUUUGUUGCUCGUAAGUUUUGCCCUUUGUUAGUGUCAGGAAGGUUAGCGUCAAACUAAUGUGAAUGGGAACCACAACUGAACUUCAAGUUUUUAUACCAUUUCAUUUGACAUUUCUCAAUUUAAGAAAAAAUUGAAUUUGAAACACGCAUUAAAGUUAUUCAAGCUUAUUAUGAAAAUAGGCGUUCAAAUAAAAAGGUAUAUCGUGCACUUCCUGAUUUUUUCGGUCAAUUUAUUCGUCCAAAUGGCCCACCGUCCAAAAAAUCGUCUAAGAAUUUGAUCAAACCGGUCUGUAGGAGAUGUCAAAACACCAAUGCAUGCUCGUUCUGCUUGUACUGAAAUAUUGCUGCUAUUUCCGAUAG